GACGAACGCUGGCGGCGCGCUUAACACAUGCAAGUCGAGCGAAGCGGCGGACGGGUGAGUAACACGUGAGUAACCUGCCUUACACAUUGGGAUAGCCUCGGGAAACCGGUAUUAAUACCAAAUGGUCUAAGAUGGACUCGCGUCCCAUUAGCUAGUUGGUGGGUAACGGCCCACCAAGGCGACGAUGGGUAGCCGGCCUGGGAGGGUGGACGGCGACAUUGGAACUAGGAAACGGUCAAAACGAUGCGGGAGGCAGCAGUGGGGAAUAUUGCAAAAUGGAGGGAACUAUGAUGCAGCGACGCCGCGGGAACGAAGAAGGCGUUCGAGUCGUAAAGUUCUUUUAUAUGGGAAGCGGUACCAGAAGAAGAAGCCCCGGCUAACUACGUGCCAGCAGCCGCGGUAAUAC
rnacentral:rRNA from 1 species